CAGUGAGAAAAUUAACAAAGCACUAACUCAUAACUAGUGAGAAAACUCACAGUGAUAAAUGACAUCACAGAGAGCAAAAACAGGGUGUAUUCUAUAGCAGACUCUCCAAAGAGAUGUGCGUGCGUGUGUGUGUGUGUGUGUGUGUGUGUGUGUGUGAGAGAGAGAGAGAGACAGACAGACAGAGAGAGAGAGGGAAUGCUCUUUCAUCCAUUUGUCUGUCCUAAUCCUAAAAGUAUUCUUUAAGCACCUACUAUGGGUCAGGUACUAUUCCUGAUUCUGGUGCUAAAGGUGGCAGCAAGAUUGACAGUUUCUGUCUUCUGGAAACACAGAAUUGGGGUGAAUAACCUAAAUAAAUAACUUUAGGUAAUAAGUAUUAUGAAGAAAAAUCCAUCAAGAUUAGGAGACAGAAAGUAAGUCUGAUGUGAACCUAGCUUAUUUCAGUGUAGAGCCCUAGGAUAAGCACAUAUUUAUUGUGAACAAGGAACACAAGAUGGUUGAGCUGUCUGCAGCUCGUGAGAAAAGGGAAGCAUCAGGAAAUGGCCUAGAGAGACCAGACCCAGAUUCUGUGAGGUCUCUGAAUACCAGAGUGAGUUUGUGUUUUAAAUGUAAUGGGAAACCUGGAGAGACAGGAGCACAGAAAUGAUGGGAUUUAAUCUUCCUUUUAUUAAAGCUUUCUGUGAGUCCUGUGUGGAAAAUCAUCUAUAAGGAGGCAAGAUUUUGAGCAGGGAGAUCUGUUCGGAAGUUAUUGUACCAGCGUACCAACAGAAGGUAGCAGACGGACCCAGGAGCAGCAGUGAAUGUGUUAUCCAGAAAAAGAAGCAACCAUAUGGAAUCAUAAGGGACUGCAUUCUUAUAAGAAAAAGCAACAAAAGGAUUGAAAAAUAAAAACAUGGCUGGGUGCAGUGGCUCACACCUGUAAUCCCAGGACUUUGGGAGGCCGAGGCAGGUGGAUCACAAGGUCAGGAGUUUGAGACCAACCUGACAAACAUGAUGAAACCCAGUCUCUACUAAAAAUACAAAAAUUAGCCAGGCAUGGUGGUGUGUGCCUGUAAUCCCAGUACUCAGGAGGCUGAGGCAAGAGAAUCACUUGAACCCGGGAGGCAGACGUUACAGUGAGCCGACAUCGUCCCACUGCACUCCAGCCUGGGCGACAGAGCAAGACUCCAUCUCUAAAAAAAGAACAAGAAAAACAUACCCUAUCCACUGCACAACAGGGAGCUUGGUUGUAUUUAAAUUCUUAACUCUUAUAAAAGGGAGUUGUCUAAAGGGAUAGUGUGUGUCUUAGUGGGCAAAUGUGUGUAGAAGAGUGCCUAAGGGUAGCCACAGCGUUUCUUUGUGUGGCACCUUGCUGGUAUGUCUCUAAAAUUCAGCCCUUGCACACCAGCCUUGGGUUGCCAACACUUGUCCAACUAAAUCUUUAUGCCACCAAAUCUUCAAUGCUUUAUUGUCAGUUGUAAAGUCUUCAGCCUUUAUUUUUAGAAAACAGUUUAUUACUGAUGACAUUUUCUAUUUGAAUACUGGUUAUAAGUUCUCGCCAGGAAUGUUACUCAUCAACAAGAGGGAUGCAAACAGUGGCCAAAUGUACCAGUGAUUCAUGUAGCUGGGACUUCCACUGCAAACAAAUAUUAGGUCCAGACUCCAUGGGAUUGGCCACCUUCAAGGCAAGGAAGAGAUAAAAC
rnacentral:lncRNA from 1 species